rfam:Triticum urartu cultivar G1812 contig262924, whole genome shotgun sequence.
AUAAUACUCCCUCCAUCCCAAAAUUCUUGUCUUAGAUUUGUCUAAAUAUGGAUGUAUCAAGUCACGUUUUAGUAUCGGAUACAUCCGUAUCUAGACUAAUCUAAGACAAGAAUUUUGGGACGGAGGGAGUAGUAU